rnacentral:rRNA from 1 species
UACGAAGGGGGCGAGCGUUGUUCGGAUUUACUGGGCGUAAAGGGUGCGUAGGUGGCGGGGUAAGUCUGGUGUGAAAGCUCCGAGCUCAACUCGGAAAAGCAUUGGAAACUAUCCCGCUGGAGGGUCGGAGGGGAGACUGGAAUUCUCGGUGUAGCAGUGAAAUGCGUAGAUAUCGAGAGGAACACCAGUGGCGAAGGCGAGUCUCUGGGCCGAUACUGACGCUGAGGAGCGAAAGCGUGGGGAGCGAACAGG